AACGAACGCUGGCGGCAUGCCUAACACAUGCAAGUCGAACGAGACCUUCGGGUCUAGUGGCGCACGGGUGCGUAACGCGUGGGAACCUGCCCUUAGGUUCGGAAUAACUCCCCGAAAGGGGUGCUAAUACCGGAUAAUGUCUUCGGACCAAAGAUUUAUCGCCUUUGGAUGGGCCCGCGUUGGAUUAGCUAGUUGGUAGGGUAAAAGCCUACCAAGGCGACGAUCCAUAGCUGGUCUGAGAGGAUGAUCAGCCACACUGGGACUGAGACACGGCCCAGACUCAAGGGGGAGGGGGCGGUGGGAAAUAUAGAAAAAGGGGAAAGGGCUUGAACCAGCAAUGCCGGGUGAGAGAAGAAGCCCUAGGGGUAAAAAAGCUCUUUUACCGGGAAAGAUAAUGAGAGACCGGAAAGAAUAGGCCCGGCAUAACUCCGUG
rnacentral:rRNA from 1 species